rnacentral:lncRNA from 1 species
UGACAGGUGGCAGAGCUGAGAUUCGAACCCAUGACCUCUGCCUCCCAAGCCCAGGCUCUUUCCACUGAGCCACGCUGCUUCUCUAAUAUAUUACUAUGGUAUGUAAUAUAAUAUUACUUAUUCCAUUCUAUUACUCUUUCCUCUCUACAAUAGAUUUUAAUAUCUGCCUCCUCACUCUUGUUUGCUCCUUGAAGGCAGGGAUUAUAUCCGUUUCCUGAACCACGUGGCCUAGAAGGCAGAGCGUCGGUCUGGAAGUCAGAGGACUUGGGUUCUAAUUCUGACUCUGCCACUUGCUGGCUGUGGAUGACCUUAGGCAGGUCACCUCACUUCUCUGCGCUUCAGUUUUCUCCUCAGUAAAAGUGGGGAUUCAUCCGUUCUCCAUCCUCGUUAGAUUGCGAGCCCCCAUAUAGGAUAAAGAUGUUGUUUGAUCUGCUUAUGGUGUAUCUACAACAGUGCUUGGCACACAGUAAGUACUUAACAAAUACCAUAAUUACUAAUAGUAAUCCUAUUGAAGUUUCCCAAGUGCUUAGUACGGAGUUCUGCACGUAAUAGAUACUCAUUAAAUUCUACUGUUGGAUCAAGUCAGCCGAGUCCUCGUUUCAUGCUCUGUUCAUAGCACAGCUGUCUUCCGUUCAGUGAUGGACCUGGGGUUUUUUUCCUAAUGGAAAAUCUGGGUCCCUUUGCAUUCCAUAAAGGGAUAUUUCUUUGUUUCACCGGUAUUUGUUAAGUGCUUACUAAGUGCCAGGCAAAGCACUGGGGUAAAUACUAGAUAAUCAGUUUGGACACAGUCAGCGUCCCACGUGGGACUCACGGUCUUAUUCCCCAUCUUACAGAUGAAGUAACUGAGGCACCGAGAAGUUAAGAGACUUACCCAGGCUCCCACAGCCGAAAAAUGGAGGAGCCAGAUUUGGAACCCAGGUCCCUGUGACUCCCAAUUCCAUGUUCCAUCCGCUAAGCUAAGCUACGCCGCUUCUCAUUUGGUUGCUGAUCUACCACCUGGAGGAAGAGGGAAGCCACUAUCUGCCUCCAAUAAUCUCCAAACCAAUUUGGGAGGAGUGAGGAUGUGGCUUGAAACUCCCUUGUGUUCCUGGCCAAGAUGGUGGCAAACUCAGCAGAACUAGCCUCUCCAACAAGCCCUUUCUCAUUACUGUGGGAAAUUAAAUCGCAGAAGAAGAAGCACAAAACGGAGUCAGGUUUCAAUUAAAAUAUAAACCUCGUUACUGUGAAGGCAAACUGGAGGGAGAGCCCACUUCCCCGGAUCACGACUGCUUCAGGUUUAAUUUUCCUAUGACGGCUCCUUGGAAUUACACUGCUAAUUGAUCAAAUUUUGUCUGUCUGUUAUUUAAACUUUCAAUAAAACCUAGAUUAAUGGAAGGUGUAAUCCUCCCGGGCAGAACAAAUAUUCCCAUUGUCCAUGUCAGGUACGGAAUAACAAUGUCCCGGUAACAGCGUUUCCUAUUCAGCCUGUGAGCACCGAGUUAAUUGUGAAAAAUGCGCUGAUUCUUUAAUUGCUUGAAUUUUCUCUCCCUGCUCCAUUUUUCAUCCGACGCUCCGUGCUUCUCUAAAACGUAUUUAGGGAGUGUAGGGUAAGAAGAGCUAGAGUGUAAUCUCCUUGUGGGUAAGGAUGACCUCUGUGGAUUCUAUUAACCUGGCCUGCGGGGAAACAGUCUGGCUUUGGUAGUCAGAGGAUCUGGUUUCUAAUCCUGGCUCUGUCUCUUGCCUGUUGGGUGACCUUGGGCAAUUCAUUUUAAUCAUCUGUGACUCAGUUUUCUCCUCUGUAAAAUGGGGAUUCAAUUCCGCCCCUUAAAACUGAAGUUCAUGAGUCACCCGACUCUUUUUGGUCUGAAUGCCCUGAAUCUACCCCAAAGCUUGGCACAAAACUAAGCGCUUAACAAAUAUGGUUAUUAUUAUUAUCUAAUGUACUCUCCCAAGUGUAUAGUACGUCUUUACACACUGUAAGUGCUCAAUAAGUACUAAUGGCUAAAAUAAAGGCUGGGAAGGGCUAAUUAUUUUGGGAUCAGCAGGUACAUUUAUUUAUUUGUAUUAUUGUCCUUCUCUUCCUCUAGGCUGUGAGCUCAUUGUGGACAGGGAAUAUGGCUGUUUAUUGUAUACUGUAUUCUCCCCAGUGCUUAGGAUAGUGCUUUGCACACAGUAAGUGCUCAAUAAAUAUGAUCUAAUGAAGUGGCUCGGAGAAGCAGCGUGGCUCAGUGGAAAGAGCAAGGGCUUUGGAGUCAGGGCUCAUGAGUUCGAAUCCCAGCUCUGCCACUUGUCGGCUGUGUGACUGUGGGCACGUCACUUAACUUCUCUGUGCCUCAGUUCCCUCAUCUGUAAAAUGGGGAUUAAGACUGUGAGCCCCACGUGGGACAACCUGAUUUCCCUAUGUCUACCCCAGCGCUUAGAACAGUGCUUGGCACAUAGUAAGCGCUUAACAAAUACCAACAUUAUUAUUAUUAUUAUUAUUAUACUUUGACCUGUUUUUAACCUCCACUAAGAUCGUGGCUUAUGGCUAGUCAAUGCUCUGGGCUUCCAUGAUUUACUUAGCUAUCCUUAAUCCUGUAGUAUGUGAGUCUAUUAAGUUAUACAUUCGAUCAUUUAUUUUGUUUACUCUCUAAUUCUUUGUUUUCUUUGUUUUGUAUUUCGUAAAGGCUUAGUAAUAAAUGUGGCAUUUGUUAAGAGCUUACUAUAUGUCCAGCACUGUCUAAGCACUGGGAUAGAUGCAAGUUAAUUAGUUCUGACAGAGUACCUGUCCCUCAUAAAGCUCACACUAAAUUGGAGGAAAAACUGUACUGAAUCUCCAUUUUGAGAGAGAAAAAGAGAAGUUAAAUGACUCGCCCGAGGUCACACGGCAGGCAAGUGCCGAGCUGGAAUUAGAACCCAGGUCCUCUGACUCCCAGACUCGAACUCUUUUCCACCAGGCAUCGCUGCUCCCCUUCUGUUCACGAUUGGAUUAUGGAGCAGCUCAGUUCCACGUGGCUCUAUCGCCGAUGUUACCUACCCGUAAAAUUGGAUCCAGGGCAAACUCCCAGGACAGGCCUUAUGCAUCCUGACGGUCCAUCGAUUCCUUGUUUUUCCUUAAUAUUUUAUUAAGUUUUACAGAAAACAAACUCAAAGCCCAUCCAGAGAGGUGAACAACAAGGCGAAGAAAGAGCCUCUGACGCAGAAUCGUUACCAAAUCAAUAAGCAAUUCCACCGUCCCGAGCGAAGCAGUCGAAUUGCCUCCCGGAGAAAAGGAGCCUGGCUGGUAUAUUAAACACAAAUCUGAAAAGCUUAUUCAUUUGCCGAGAGGCUCUCUGGGGGUUGUUCACGUUGAUUUUACUGCGGUGGCCUUGAUUUGAACACGCCACCAUCUGUGUGGAGGAGCAGAGGCCCGGGCUGGUGCUGUGGAAAUCGUUUCAUGAUGAGGCUGAGGUAUUUUUUUUUUUUUAUG